CCUACGGGAGUCAGCAGUAGGGAAUUUUCGGCAAUGGGGGGAACCCUGACCGAGCAACGCCGCGUGAACGAAGAAGUUAUUCGUAAUGUAAAGUUCUUUUAACAGGGAAGAAAGAGAAAUUUGACGGUACCUGAAGAAUAAGCUCCGGCUAACUACGUGCCAGCAGCCGCGGUAAUACGUAGGGAGCGAGCGUUAUCCGGAAUUAUUGGGCGAAAAGGGUGCGUAGAUGGCAUAGUAAGUCUUUUGUAAAAAUGGUGGGCUCAACCCAGUAGGGCAAAAGAUACUGCAAAGCUAGAGUAUGACAGAGGAAAGGGGAACUACAUGUGUAGCGGUAAAAUGCGUAAAUAUAUGUAAGAACGCCAGUGGCGAAGGCGGCUUGCUGGGUCGAUACUGACAUUGAGGCACGAAAGCGUGGGGAGCAAACAGGAUUAGAUACCCGAGUAGUC
rnacentral:rRNA from 1 species